UGUAAACAUCCCUGACUGGAAGCUGGGAGCACUUGCUGCGGCAGCUUUCGCCCGGAUGUUUGCUGC
rnacentral:pre_miRNA from 1 species